rnacentral:rRNA from 1 species
UAUCACUAAGCGGAGGAAAAGAACUAACAAGGAUUCCCUUAGUAACGGCGAGUGAACAGGGAAGAGCCCAGCACCGAAGCCUGUGGCCGUUUGGUUACUAGGCAAUGUGGUGUUUAGGUCGUUCCGCGGAGGCACUGCGCCACUCCAAGUCCAUUCAUGAGUACGGUUGUACAGACUUGGCCCACAGAGGGUGAAAGGCCCGUGGGGGUGGUGUUCCAGAUAUGUCAGUGUCUCUCUGGUAAGACCUUGGAGUCGGGUUGUUUGUGAAUGCAGCCCAAAGUGGGUGGUAAACUCCAUCCAAGGCUAAAUACUUGCACGAGUCCGAUAGCGAACAAGUACCGUGAGGGAAAGUUGAAAAGUACUUUGAAGAGAGAGUAAACAGUGCGUGAAACCGCUCAGAGGUAAACGGGUGGAGUUGAACUGCGAGCCCAGAGAAUUCAGCUGGUGAGUGUGGUCUGAGCUUGUUCAGGUUGGCUGUACACUGGAGUCUGCGAAGUAGCGGGUCUCCUCCUUCGGGUGGAGAUGUGCGAUACACCUUGAGAAGUGUUGCGCGCUUCAGUUGUAUACGGGCCUGCUUGCCAGUGCAUUUUCUCUGGGUGUUCACCACGACCGGCACUGCUGUCUGGCUGUUGUGGUUAAACCGUUCUUGCUUAGUCCUUGUGGCUUUGCUUGGUCGGGACGGCAGGUAACUUGUUGGCUAGUCUUUUGACCUGCCUUCGGGUGUAAUCAGCUGACCAUAAUGGUUCUGUGCAGUGUGUCGGAGACGGCGGCUUGUGGUGUGAGCGCGCGUGCCUUGUCUACUGACUUGGUUGGGUCUGGUUGCUCUGUUGCUUGUUCUCAAGCCUAGCGAUGGCCUGACUUUGUUUGGUGGGCGGUUGCGUGUGUGACACUAUCCAGGGCCAAUAGUCUGUGGUGUUGUGGUAGACUUUCCACCCGACCCGUCUUGAAACACGGACCAAGGAGAGUAACAUGUAUGCGAGUCAUUGGGCGUAACGAAACCCACAGGCGCAGUGAAAGUAAAGGUUUGGUUUAUCCAGACUGAGGUGAGAUCCUGCUGUGUCUUGCACGUUUAAAUGACAAGCUCGAGCAGUGGGCGCAUCACCGGCCCGUCCCAUGAUGUAGUCACGGCCUUGUGCCUGUGCACCGUCGGGGCGGAGCAUGAGCAUACAUGUUGAGACCCGAAAGAUGGUGAACUAUGCUUGCGCAGGUUGAAGCCAGAGGAAACUCUGGUGGAGGACCGUAGCGAUUCUGACGUGCAAAUCGAUCGUCAAACGUGAGUAUAGGGGCGAAAGACUAAUCGAACCAUCUAGUAGCUGGUUCCCUC